rnacentral:rRNA from 1 species
AAUGAACGCUGGCGGCGCGCCUAAUACAUGCAAGUCGAGCGAGAAGACGUAGCAAUACGUUUGUAAAGCGGCGAACGGGUGAGGAAUACAUGGGUAACCUACCCUCGAGUGGGGAAUAACUAGCCGAAGGUUAGCUAAUACCGCGUACGCUUCUUGGACUUCGGUUCAGGGAGGAAAGCGAUGCCGAGGGUAUCGCGCUCUUGGAUGGGCUCAUGUCCUAUCAGCUUGUUGGGAGGUAACGGCUCACCAAGGCUUCGACGGGUAGCUGGUCUGAGAGGACGAUCAGCCACACUGGCACUGCGACACGGGGCCAGACUCCUACGGGAGGCAGCAGUAAGGAAUAUUGCGCAAUGGGCGAAAGCCUGACGCAGCGACGCCGCGUGGGGGA